UGCAGUGUCACGGACGUGCAAUGGUUGCUACGGGUACGGGGAAUCAGAGUUCGAUUCCGGAGAGUGGGCCUGAGAGAUCGCUCAUACUUCUAAGGAAGGCAGCAGGCGCGCAACGUUCCCAAUGGGCACUAUGUCCUGAGGGCGUUAUAGGAAGUAUGCAUGGUUGCCAAAAUGGCGGCUAAUGCAAAUGGAUCAGGUGUAAACUACCUGAUGAGAAACAAUUAGAGGACAAGUCUGGUUGCAGGACAGCCAGAUGUUCCUUGGGUAAAUUAAUAUUUCCUUGACGGUCCAAGGUUUUAUUUUUAUUCAAGGGGCAGAAAGCCGGGUUGAACUCCGGUUGUACAACUGUAAAUUGCGGGAAAGGCUGGCUUUUAAACAUGUAGCUACGGCGGCUGUAGUGGGAAAUCACAUAACCACAAGCGGCGUCAGCAGAGAGCGUAAUGGUUCUCGGAUCGUAAAAACGCUACUAUGUAAUGCCAGGCAAUCCGCAGCCAAGUGCGCUACAAAGAACCCAAUUCAUUUUGGGGGAAAAAUGCGCUCAGGUUCAGAGACUAUAAUCAGUUGGGGUGAUUCUUUAAAUUCUGAAGGUUUCAACCAUAUACAUGCAUAACAUGCAUACAAAUCACAUUUUACAAUGUGUACUUGUGUGAUGUGCGUUAUUACGUGGUUGAAGCGGGAAGGGUUUUUGAUCAUCUUAAGGUAUAGUCCACUCCCCUCAGCGAUGAGGCCGGCUACGGAGUAGGAGGAUUUGUUCCCCUCUGAGGACGAGCCGGGUUUAAUGAUCCAGGAAGACAAAAUGUCCUGGGGAGAACGGUACACAAGGGCCAGCACCCGCGGUAAUUCCAGCUCUAAUAGCGUUCAUUAAAUUUGUUGCGGUUAAAACGUUCGUAGCCAGCCUAAGGGCAUUCCAAGACGUGGCUUGGGAACUUUUGUGUGGGAAUCUUGCGGCUCCAAUGCCACAAUCUCCCAUUCGAAUUUUCUCCCAUGUAUUAUGGAGUGGCCUCACGCACUUCCCUUCGUCUGUUCCUCUUUCCCCCUCCGUGAAAUCCACCUUCGGGGGCACUUUCGGCCAGGAUACGAACUUAAGGGACUCGUCCCGCGAUGCAGUGCCAAACUGCUGUCGAUUAAAAUGCAACUCUCCAAGUUGGGUAACUUACGGCGGCAUAUGACUUGCCAAAGUAUCAAAACAUCCGAGAGCAUCGAUCACAGCACAGGCUAGCGAAGCAUUACUGAAUGGAGAAAUCCACCCUUUCCUGUCUCCCUCGCCAACCAUCCCACUUUCUCCUGAGACCCGGUAAAUGCUCCCCAAAAGCUCUCUCGAUUAACCUCCGCUCUUCGGAAAAGGGGUGUCGAUGUAUCUUCGGGGUUCAAGUGUUCGGCGGAAUACGAAAGAGAUCGAGGGACUGGCGAGAAGAGUUAGGAGGGGAGGCAGGGUGCCUCGCUACUACCAAAGGCGAAAGGGAUGUUCGGUGGUGACCGAAUUAUCUGGUGAGCGGUGAAAUGCGUUGAUCCAGGUAAGUCGUCCAAAAGCGAAAGCAGUCAUCAAGGGCAUUCCCGUUGGUCAAGAACGAAAGUUGGGGGAUCGAAGACGAUCAGAUACCGUCGUAGUCCCAACCCUAAAUCAUGAAGACUAGAGAUUGGGCAAUGUCCAUCUCGACUCCCUCUGGAUCUACAUGGAAACAUCCAAGUAGUCUCC
rnacentral:rRNA from 1 species